UACGGAGGGGGCUAGCGUUGUUCAGAAUUACUGGGCGUAAAGCGUACGUAGGCGGCUUGGCAAGUUAGAGGUGAAAGCCCGGAGCUCAACUCCGGAAUAGCCUUUGAGACUGCCUCGCUUGAACGUCGGAGAGGUGAGUGGAAUUCCGAGUGUAGAGGUGAAAUUCGUAGAUAUUCGGAAGAACACCAGUGGCGAAGGCGGCUCACUGGACGACUGUUGACGCUGAGGUACGAAAGCGUGGGGAGCAAACAGG
rnacentral:rRNA from 1 species